UACGUAGGGUGCGAGCGUUGUCCGGAAUUAUUGGGCGUAAAGAGCUCGUAGGCGGCUUGUUGCGUCGACUGUGAAAACCCGCGGCUUAACUGCGGGCUUGCAGUUGAUACGGGCAGGCUAGAGUUCGGUAGGGGAGACUGGAAUUCCUGGUGUAGCGGUGAAAUGCGCAGAUAUCAGGAGGAACACCGGUGGCGAAGGCGGGUCUCUGGGCCGAUACUGACGCUGAGGAGCGAAAGCGUGGGGAGCGAACAGG
rnacentral:rRNA from 1 species